AUACGGAGGAUGCGAGCGUUAUCCGGAUUUAUUGGGUUUAAAGGGUGCGUAGGUGGUAGAUUAAGUCAGCGGUGAAAGUUUGUCGCUCAACGAUAAAAUUGCCGUUGAUACUGGUUUACUUGAGUAUAGUUGAAGUAGGCGGAAUGCGUGGUGUAGCGGUGAAAUGCAUAGAUAUCACGCAGAACUCCGAUUGCGAAGGCAGCUUACUAAGUUAUAACUGACACUGAAGCACGAAAGCGUGGGUAUCAAACAGGAUUAGAUACCCUGGUAGUCCACGCAGUAAACGAUGAUUACUAGCUGUUUGCGAUAUACAGUAAGUGGCACAGCGAUAGCGUUAAGUAAUCCACCUGGGGAGUACGCCGGCAACGGUGAAACUCAAAGGAAUUGACGGGG
rnacentral:rRNA from 1 species